UUAAGCACUCCGCCUGGGGAGUACGGCGGCAAGGCUGAAACUCAAAGGAAUUGACGGGGACCCGCACAAGCGGUGGAGCAUGUGUUUUAAUUCGAAGCAACGCGAAGAACCUUACCAGGUCUUGACAUCAUCUGACACUCCUAGAGAUAGGACGUUCCCCUUCGGGGGACAGAGUGACAGGUGGUGCAUGGUUGUCGUCAGCUCGUGUCGUGAGAUGUUGGGUUAAGUCCCGCAACGAGCGCAACCCUUGAUCUUAGUUGCCAGCAUUUAGUUGGGCACUGUAAGGUGACUGCCGGUGACAAACCGGAGGAAGGUGGGGAUGACGUCAAAUCAUCAUGCCCCUUAUGACCUGGGCUACACACGUGCUACAAUGGAUGGUACAAAGGGCUGCAAAACCGCGAGGUCGAGCCAAUCCCAUAAAACCAUUCUCAGUUCGGAUUGUAGGCUGCAACUCGCUUACAUGAAGCUGGAAUCGCUAGUAAUCGUGGAUCAGCAUGCCACGGUGAAUACGUUCCCGGGUCUUGUACACACCGCCCGUCACACCACGAAAGUUUGUAACACCCAAAGUCGGUGGGGUAACCUUUAUGGAGCCAGCCGCCUAAGGUGGGACAGAUGAU
rnacentral:rRNA from 1 species